AGAGUUUGGACAAAUUAAUUAAUUGAGUAAGUUCCACCCUUUUGGUGCUUCAAUGCUUCUACAUAAUCUAUUUAUAAUAUAUUAAAGUUGACUCCUCAUAUUUGUGCUAUGAAAGUCUUUUGUUCGAUAUAUGAAAGUCUGUCAUGUCAGCAUUUUGAUUAUUUCAUUACUUUCGGUUAAGUAUCUCUUCCUCUAUCUCCUCUAUAAAAGCCGUCCUCUUCCUCCCUCCCACAAAAAUCACUCAGCUCUUUUCUUUCCCUUUCAAGCAUCUCUUUUCUUAUUGGUUGUUGUUGCCAUGGCCUCACUGAUGUUGAGUAUUAGUGCUUCGUUGGCUGCCUUGCUUGGGCCACUAACUACCAAUCCCCUGAACGGGCCUUUAGUGCGUAUUGCGGGAUCCUCGAUUAGAAGAGACGGUCAUCAACGAUCGUGAGACCGGGAGGUCCCACGGCUUUGGAUUCGUCACCUAGAUCAACGAGAAGUUCAUGAAGGAUGCGAUCAAGGGGAUGAACUACUAGAAUCUUGACGACAAUAGCAUCACUGUCAAUGAGGCAGUCCCAUGAGAUCGGGAGGUCCCAUGACUUUGGAUUUGCCACCUAGGUGGUGGCAGCAGCGGCUGGUACGGUGGUGGAAGCAACCGUGAUAGCGGAUACACCAACGAAUUGUCUUUACAUGAAUUUUUAUAUCGAGUUUCAGUAACUUGAUUGCUUUUUCGAGUAUGAGUGAUCAAAAUAUGGUAAGAGAGAACGCCGCCAAGAUUAAUUUGACUAGAUAUACUUGUAGCAGUCUAUGUGCCCACGAGUUAAAUAAUAAUCUCUAUUGAUUAAAAAACCGAUCGGGCGAAGACAUGGAAUGUCCAGGAUUAUCAAGGAGCUAAAGUCUAUUUAGCAUUUGAACAUAACUAGUUUCUUUUUGUUGUUAAAUAAAAAAUCUAUGCAUGAGCUUAUAUGAUUACAUAUGACAAAUCGGGGGCUAACAAAGCACGAUGGGCAGAAUACGGGGUGGACAAGUAAAAGGAAGGGGCCAAGGAAACCAAUUUUAUUAGUUGUGUUAAGUGAUGUUCAAGCAAUAUAUUAUAAAUAAAAAAAUGUAUUAUAUUUGUCUUUACUA